AGCAGUAGCCGCGGUAAUACGGAGGGUGCAAGCGUUAAUCGGAAUUACUGGGCGUAAAGCGCACGCAGGCGGUCUGACAAGUCAGAUGUGAAAUCCCCGGGCUUAACCUGGGAACUGCAUUUGAAACUGUCAGGCUGGAGUCUUGUAGAGGGGGGUAGAAUUCCAGGUGUAGCGGUGAAAUGCGUAGAGAUCUGGAGGAAUACCGGUGGCGAAGGCGGCCCCCUGGACAAAGACUGACGCUCAGGUGCGAAAGCGUGGGGAGCAAACAGGAUUAGAGACCCGUGUAGUCCCUGUCUCUUAUAC
rnacentral:rRNA from 1 species